rnacentral:rRNA from 1 species
UACAGAGGGUGCGAGCGUUAAUCGGAAUUACUGGGCGUAAAGCGCGCGUAGGCGGCUUUGCAAGUCGGGUGUGAAAUCCCCAGGCUUAACCUGGGAACUGCAUUCGAGACUGCAUUGCUAGAGUAUGGGAGAGGGAAGUGGAAUUUCCGGUGUAGCGGUGAAAUGCGUAGAUAUCUGGAGGAACACCGGUGGCGAAGGCGACGUCCUGGACCGGCAUUGACGCUGAGGCGCGAAAGCCAGGGGAGCAAACGGG